rnacentral:rRNA from 1 species
UACAGAGGUCCCGAGCGUUGUUCGGAUUCACUGGGCGUAAAGGGUGCGUAGGCGGCGCGGUAAGUCGGAUGUGAAGUCUCGGAGCUUAACUUCGAAACUGCAUUCGAUACUGCCGUGCUUGAGGACUGGAGAGGAGACUGGAAUUUCCGGUGUAGCGGUGAAAUGCGUAGAUAUCGGAAGGAACAUCAGUGGCGAAAGCGGCUUCCUGGACCAGAACUGACGAUCAGGCUCGAAAGCGUGGGGAGCAAACAGGG